UACGGAGGGUGCAAACGUUGCUCGGAAUCAUUGGGCGUAAAGCGCACGUAGGUGGCCUGUUAAGUCGGGUGUGAAAUCCCGGGGCUCAACCCCGGAACUGCCUCCAAAACUGCUGGUCUGGAGGUCGAGAGAGGUGAGUGGAAUUCCGAGUGUAGAGGUGAAAUUCGUAGAUAUUCGGAGGAACACCAGUGGCGAAGGCGGCUCACUGGCUCGAUACUGACGCUGAGGUGCGAAAGCGUGGGGAGCAAACAGG
rnacentral:rRNA from 1 species